rnacentral:rRNA from 1 species
UACGGAGGGUGCGAGCGUUGUCCGGAUUUAUUGGGUUAAAGGGUGCGUAGGUGGCUUGAUAAGUCAGUGGUGAAAUACGGUUGCUCAACAAUCGAGGUGCCAUUGAUACUGUUAAUCUUGAAACAAGUGGAGGUUGCCGGAAUGGAUGGUGUAGCGGUGAAAUGCAUAGAUAUCAUCCAGAACACCGAUUGCGAAGGCAGGUGACUACGUUUGAUUUGACACUGAGGCACGAAAGCAUGGGGAGCAAACAGG